UAUGAAAUACUAUUACUAUCAUCUGGAAAGAAUUCAUAAUACUGUUUCUUGCACGUGCUGCAUGCAAGAACAUUAAACUCAGCAUUGCAUACAAGAAACGCCGUAAAGAACUCAAGUCUUCACCGACUAACGGGUUUUGAAAUUGAGUGAAAAGUGAAUUGCAGGUGUCAACAGCUGAAAUAAAGGAAGGGACAACGUAUUAACCUGGUGUUGACCUAAAUCCUUUUGCUACAUCUUCGGCAUCCAGAGGAAAUAACCGAUAGAGUUGUACGACCAACCUCAAGAGUGGUGGACAAAGAAAGUCGUCAUACACUCAUCUAUUUUGACUUGGAGACGACAGGCUUUGGAAUUUCCUGCGAUGUAAUUCAGUUGUCAUGUGUGGAUUGAGAGGGCAGUUUUAAAAGGUACUUAAUUCCUAAGUCAGCAAUCACGGCAUAUGCAACAGCUGUAACUGGAUCGUAUGUUGAAAUGGGGAGAAGUUUUUUCACAAGUAUAAGAUUAAUAGUGUUUCUGUUGUAAGGUGUUUACAAGAUGUUACUCAGUGGUUAAAACAGUACAGAAAACCAUUACUUGUUUGUCAUAAUGGUCAAGCAUUUGAUUAUAUUAUAUUAUGGUCAGACGACACUCCUCAAGCAUCAUUUUUGUAUAUCCUCGUAAUAAGGAGUUCCAAAAGAAAGAUCCGGGAUUUCAUCCCUUUCUGUGCUCUACUUCAAUUGAGAAAAAUUUGUAAUUUCUCUAUGUAAAAAGUCGCAGAAAAAAUAGAAAAAAAUUAUAGAAAAUUAAGAAACGUGUCGUCUGACCUUAUAUAAAACUUGUCAAAAUAAUUCUUUUUAUUUCCAAUUAAAGUUGUUGUUGAUAGUUCAUAUGUAUUUAGAGAAGCUUUACCAGACAGGGAAUAAUACAAAGUUGAAGCCUUAGUUAGAGACUGUAUGUCCAUGUCCCUUUUAGCCCAUUCAGCCAUUGAAGGUGUAAAGGCAUCGGGGUCAUUGGUUUUGCAUUGUAAGAUAUGUUUUGAUAUGUUUUUGAACAAUAGUUUACGCAUAUAGAAUGUAACAUCUUCCAUACACUAUCAAUCAAAAACAAAUGAAUGUCUCUACAACCACUGUCAAUUGUUUUUUAAACUACAUGUUUAAGAAAAUAGCACAUUCUGGAGUGUCAUACCAACACCAAUAGAUGGUAUAUGAAUAGAAGGAUCAGAGGAUAUAGAGAAUAUACUGAGUGAGACAAACUCUGGCAGUAUUGAUCGGGCUACCAAAACACGGUCCAUUUUUUCCCAGAUCAUAAAUAAUUCUCAAAUUAAACAUAUAUUUCUCGCAACCAAGAAUUAAAAUUUGCUGGGUUUUUCUUCUCUACAAAUGUUUAAUGUAUUUUUAUUUCUUUUUUUGCGUUGUUGAUGUUUAAUACAGACGUAAUUCAAAUAUGA